rnacentral:rRNA from 1 species
AGAUUGAACGCUGGCGGCGUGCCUAACACAUGCAAGUCGAGCGGUAGCAGGUGUAGCAAUACAUGCUGACGAGCGGCGAACGGGUGAGUAAUGCUUCGGAAUCUACCCACGGGUGGGGAAUAACCAACCGAAAGGUUGGCUAAUACCGCAUAAGUCCUACGGGGGAAAGCGGGGGAUCGAAAGACCUCGCGCCGGUGGAUGAGCCGAUGUCCGAUUAGCUGGUUGGUGGGGUAACGGCCCACCAAGGCGACGAUCGGUAGCUGGUCUGAGAGGAUGAUCAGCCACACUGGGACUGAGACACGGCCCAGACUCCUACGGGCGGCAGC